rnacentral:rRNA from 2 species
CUUGCUCUGGUGGAAAGUGGCAGACGGGUGAGUAACGCGUGGGAAUUUACCCAGUGGUUCGGAAUAACUCCGGGAAACCGGUGCUAAUACCGAAUACGCCCCCCGGGGGAAAGAUUUAUCGCCAUUGGAUGAGCCCGCGUCGGAUUAGCUUGUUGGUGGGGUAAUGGCCUACCAAGGCAACGAUCCGCAGCUGGUCUGAGAGGAUGAUCAGCCACACUGGGACUGAGACACGGCCCAGACUCCUACGGGAGGCAGCAGUGGGGAAUAUUGGACAAUGGGCGCAAGCCUGAUCCAGCCAUGCCGCGUGAGUGAAGAAGGCCUUAGGGUUGUAAAACUCUUUCAGUGGUGAAGAUAAUGACGGUAGCCACAGAAGAAGCCCCGGCCAACUCCGUGCCAGCAGCCGCGGUAAUACGGAGGGGGUUAGCGUUGAAGCCGAAUUC